GACGAACGCUGGCGGCGUGCUUAACACAUGCCAGUCGAACGCUGAAGCUUGGAGCUUGCACUGGGUGGAUGAGUGGCGAACGGGUGAGUAAUACGUGAGUAACCUGCCCUUGACUCUGGGAUAAGCCUGGGAAACUGGGUCUAAUACUGGAUACGACAUGUCACCGCAUGGUGGUGUGUGGAAAGGGUUUUACUGGUUUUGGAUGGGCUCACGGCCUAUCAGCUUGUUGGUGGGGUAAUGGCUCACCAAGGCGACGACGGGUAGCCGGCCUGAGAGGGUGACCGGCCACACUGGGACUGAGACACGGCCCAGACUCCUACGGGAGGCAGCAGUGGGGAAUAUUGCACAAUGGGCGGAAGCCUGAUGCAGCGACGCCGCGUGAGGGAUGACGGCCUUCGGGUUGUAAACCUCUUUCAGCACGGAAGAAGCGAAAGUGACGGUACGUGCAGAAGAAGCGCCGGCUAACUACGUG
rnacentral:rRNA from 1 species